AGAGCUAUUAUUAUCUAUGCCUUCCACUAGAAUAAACCCUUUAUGUGGAGGCUGGGUCUAUAAUCUUACAUUUCCUAAUAAGUUCUUGAGAGAAACCUGCUCUCCUUAGUUCCAAGCUGUCUUUCAAUAUCCCUAGCUCUCCAAAUACUGUGGGGGUUUUUUGGCGCAACAAAACAGUUUGAGAGUCUCCUGAUCCCAGCCAGUGAUCAUCCUGGCAGUGGAGUCCCUGCCCUCAGCACCAAGCUGCCAAAAUAAUUGACUUUGUGUCUCAAAUCAUCCUACGUGGCUAUAACAAGCCCUGGGCAUCCCAAAAUAGGAGAGGGAAAAAGAUUAGAUGCAUGGAUUUGUAUAGGUCUUCACAUUUAGAAACGGACAUUCUACCAGUCAUGAAACUUAAACCAAAGCAAAUUAUAUUAGUGACUUAUUUUUCACUGGAAUGAGAAAAUCUCAUCCUCAAAGAAGAGGCUAGCAUGGCCCAUUAGAUAUCAUACCUUACUAUACAGAGGUUCCAAGAUAUCCCAAAUAUUCCGUCAUAUAUUUGCAAUAAUCCCAAGGAAGCUUGAAAGAAAACUAUAGCUGAUACCCAAUAACGUGGAUUGCACAUCACACAAACUCUUCCCCUCUCUCAUCCCAUGAGAAUAGAAGCGAUAUUUCAGGCUCAUUGCUAAACACAUGUUUCCAUCCAAGGGCCAUAGCUGCCAAACCUUCCUGAAAUUUAUGGUAACAUAGUCUAAAUAUUUGAAAAGUAAGAAAUAAGAAAUCAAAGGCAGAUUUCUUUGUAACCACAACAUUUUCAAGGUGGCAUGUGUUCUCAGGCAGCAGGGUUAUUUUGGUGAAAUUCCCAAAGUUUCUUACCACUCCCCAUUCAAGGGGACUCAUUGUUUUGGCCAAGAGCCAGUAUAGCUGAAUGCAGAUAAAAGUCUUGACUUUGGGAUUUAAAAAUAAUGACUUUACAGCAAGGAAAAUGCUGUGUCAAAGAGGAUAUUUGGUGAGGGGAGUGGUUAUUAAAAGAUGGUUUUUGUCUGUCUUUUAGUUUCUCAAAAUUAAGCCUUAAUGAAGUAAGAAUAUAAAGUAUAUUCUAUAAAUUAAAGACUAAAAAGAAAAGAAAUAAAGCACCAGUUUAUUCUUACCCCCACUCUCAAAACUAGAAUAGUGUUGCCUAAUCUAAGACAGGAAAGAAUUUAAGAAAGGAGAUACUAAAGAGAGAUUAGAUACUGAUAAGUCCCUAAGAAAGGCCAGGUGUCCCUACCCUUCCCAGAACUCAAACCAGGUGGGUAUGAGUCAUGAUAAAUCCCAAGAUGAGUCUCAGUGUCCAAGAGCAGAAAAGCUGGGGGAUGAAGACCCCGUAUCUUCCUUUCUCAUGAAGCAUAUGGAGGGGACAAAACUCCAGAGGAAUAUUGCAUGCCCACCACCACAGGGCUGGUGAGUGCUCAGGCAGAGAAUUUUGAGUCCGAACACCAAGUCUCUUCCAAGAAACACAGAAGAAUAUUCUAGAAUUUCCCAGUACACAAGAUAGCUGAGUGAGCUGAUGACUUAGAGUGUUUCAACAGGGGGACCCACGGAAAAGAAUGAUCGCCUCCAUUGCUGCUCAAAGUGAGGUCCAAGGAUGGGGAGGGAUGCUGUGAUAAAAAUUAAUCAAUAGUCCAUCUAUGAAAGAAGUGGGAAAUUGUAUUUGAGCCAAAUUUGAGGAUUAUAACCUGAGAAGAGCAUCUCAGAAAGCUCUGACAACUGUUCCACCUGUUAGAAGUCAAAACACAGUUAUAGUUUUUUGAGACAGAGGCUAUACAUUAAAUGAUGUAUUACUGAGAGUUUACACAACCCAGAUCUAGCCACCAUUGAGAUCCCUUACCAGAUCAACAAGGAGUGUGAUCUUUCAGGUGUUGUCUUAUUGAUGCUGGGAGAACAUUGCUCUUUACAGCUGAGCAGAUAUUUCUGCCAGCGGGGAGGUUUGGUGCAUGCAUAACGCCAAUACACAAUGCACAGUAGACAGGAAGCCAAAGGGCAGAGAAAAUUUUUUGUGUUUAAUUUUUCUUGUCUUUCUAUAAAAUAUGAAUUUUAGUUCACAGUCCAUGAACUGGUAUUAAGUGUCCGUGAUGAAAUAUGUACAAAAAUUAAGAGUAAGCCCUUGAAACUUUCAGAGCAAUUUGACAUUAUCACAACAUCCAAAUGCGUGAUCAGUGGACUCCCCUAUUGAGAAAGGUAUAGACUAAUUUUUGGUUUCACCUUCAUGUGCUGAGAUGCAUGUCACAUAAGUUGCAUGCUAAAUUGGUUAACAAAAAAUUAGAGGGAAAAAUCACCCUUCAUUAUAAACAGUUUGAGAGGCACUGAACAAUUCCCAAGGAGACUAAAACAGGUGCAGGGCCAUCUCAGUGGAUACAAGAAUGAAUCAAUGGCAAAAGUUGACCCAGGACAUGUUACAUGGGCAGGAAUCCACACGCCAGCAAUAACCCAGGGCCUGUUCCCCCACAAGCUAUAAAUACCCCCUAGUGUGCGGAGCCUGAAAUGACUGAGAAAACACUGAAGUGAGUUUACAGAACUGACUAGAUUCAGUUUUCUGACAGUAGGUAUAGUGAGAGCUCAGAUUAAAUUCAAUUAUAGAAAAUGUAUGAAAAAAAAACUUUUUAAAAAAUAUUUUUGAAAAAUUAUCACACUGGAUUUUAUGCCUGAAGAAAGUACAACAGGUGCUUUGCUCUGACAGUCCCCAAUAGCAUGUUACAACAUAAACUUAACAGCUCAGAUAUUUCUAUUUUACAAUAGCAAAAAACAAACAAACAAACAAAAAACCUGUUGCUGCAUAAGAACCUAAUUUUUGUGGUCUUGCUCAUUUACGCUUAAAAGGAAACACACAUUUUGCCACUAGAGCUAAACUGGGGGAAAUCUGUAGAAAUAUUUAACAAUAAACAUGUGUUAUUUCAUUCUGUGUUGAAAAUAUAAUUUGGUGGUUUGGAUUCAAGGAGCAGAGAUCCACUCAACUAACUUUAUGGAAACAAGAACUUAUUGAAAGGAGACCCAUGGACCGGAAUGGGCACGACUAGGAUGCCAUCAGCAAGGUGACCCUGAGGACUAGAUACGCCUUCAUUCUCUUCUGCCUCUAAUGGCAUCUCUCAAGUUGCCAAAAGCAGAUGUCUUUCUCUGCUCCUCUUUGCCUAUCCAUCCCACCUUUAUCAACAUGCUUCUUCUGCUUAUUCACAUUUUCUGCCCGUUAUAGCCACAUGUCCCCAUUUUUAACCUCAAAUACUGCCUGCUACUAAAACUUAGUUCAUAUUCCUGAAGUGGAGGAUUAUAUUGGCUCUUUUUUCCCCCUUAAAGUAGACCACUUGCCUAAGAGCACUCUAGCUAGUCUUUGACAGACUGCCCUUGGGUCAGUUAGUCUCCCUAAAUAUAACCAGCUUUAUCCCACUAGAAUGGGGGUAAGAAUCAUUACUCACAUGGCUAUCCUUCCAUCGGGGUAAUGGGCAGGAAAAUUUCACUCAAGAAUGGCCAGUGAUUUGCCAGGUAUUCUGAGGGUCGGCACAUCCAUUACACCUGAGGGCAAGAGCACCCAGAUCAACUUUUCCUCUUUGCUAAGAAUCUCUAGACAAUGCUAGUGGGAGAGCCUCAGCAGCCCAGGAGAUGGAUGGUAAAUGUGCACAUUUUCAUAGGCUACAGAAUGUCCAAACUUGCUUCUCAAGUUCACAUUUUCCACUCUAUCUCCAUUUUUAAGGGGGGGAGGGAUGAUUACAGCAAUGCCUAAUUUCCCUUUCUAAUGUUGACUGCUAAAUCAUAAAACAUUGUGAUAUUGACUUGACUCAUUUGUCUGCAUUAUACACAUAAUUCUAUUUUGAGCCCAAAGGACCUUAUACAAUGACAUUGCAAAGGCAAUACGGUAAACAUAGGAGAAAACAACUCAGUAUCAGCUGUAAGCCUUGAUUCAAGUUUAGCUUAUAGAAUGACCAUCAUGGUUUGAGAGUGAGCCCUUUCACCCCAAAAUAUUUUGAAGUCCAGAGCAACAAAGAACAUAAUUUCUUCUUCUGUCAUCUCUAAACAAUUAGCCUCAUUUACUCAUGACCUCUUGAGUUAGUUCAUCAGCCCCCAUCUCUUCUGCUCUUUCAUCAGGGCAAACUUACCAUCUUCUCUGUAGGAUCCAAGUCGACUAUGCUCAUAAAAUGACUUCCUUCCAUGUUUCUCUAAUGUCUUGACUCAUGUGCCAUCAGCAUCACCACCUCCUUUUCCUUAGGAUAAAGAAAGGAGAUGGAAGAUAUGAUCAGAUCCAGAAGACAGUUCCCCUGGUCCAUGGCGGCUGUAUAUUUCCAGAUACAUCUCUGAACAGAGUAAGUGGGGGAGAAGAAGUUGGAAAAUGGGGUUUCACUAUACAUUAGUGCCACUGAUAGGGUCACAGAUGUCUGCUAUUAUUGUUGUUGUUUCAGGGAUUACCUUGAGUCAUAGAUAAUAAGUCAGAAAAAGAUAUGUCUUUCCUUUAAAAGAUCUGAGAGUUUAUAAGGACAUUCUUGGUGAGAUCAGAGUUUUAAUUAGUUUGAGGAAUAAAAUAGCCAUGCAAGGCUUAGAAAGAGAGGUCACAGUGACAGGUGGAGUUAAAGGAGGACUGUGCUCCCUGGUGAUCAGGGACUUCAUUGCUAGCAUUCUGGAUGACUGAGACAAUAAAGGGUGGAGCUGGAUCAGGAAGAGCAGAGAAAAAGGGAGAGCAAGGCAUGUGCUGUCCCACACCCCACAUCCCACACUCACCAUCAGGUGAGUCCCAGGGGCCAGACCGAAGGCAGGAGGAGUGGCCAGAGCUGAUACAGCAGUGGAUGUCUCCUUAUCUAGAGGGAAACAUCAGAGACAUGAAUAAAGGUAGCUAUCUAACACUAAUACUGACCUUUCCAAGCCCUUUGGUCAAAAGAACCACAUCACUGUCAGCAUCCUGAAGUUUAAUAAUUACUUUGACCACAUCAAAGUUUGAUUAUUACUUCAACCACACCUUUGCUAGCAUCCUGAAGUUGUACAAUUACUUCAAGCACUGCUUCUAAUGGAGCAUUAGCUCAAACAGUCAAAAAAGUAAGCAAACAAAAUUUGCAAAUGAUAGCAAAACUUUCACACAAGGUACAGAGCUCAAUAAGAUAGUGAAAACUGUAAUUGUCCUACGGAUUUUUUUUUUAUAGUCUUAGAGCAAAUGUUUCAGUGUUAGCAUGCAGCUGAAACAGACCUGUAAAUAAUACCAAGAACUCAGACUAAUAGCCUUUUUUUUUUUUUUGUGGCAAGUGCAGAAUUUAAUAAUGACAUCAGAUAGAAAAAGGAUAUAAUGAGAAGGAAAUUAUUUGAUUUUGAGUUUCCAUGUUCUCAGACAAAUGGUAGUUUGAAAAAAAGAAACUAUGCAUGAAGCACUGACAGGAGGCCAAAGUUUAAUGAUCCUAAGUCAGCUCCAACUUAUUAUUAAAGACAGAUGUGGCAUUUUAUUUUCUAGCAGCCUAAAUUAAAACUGUUCUCACUUACAGAUAUAUAGAACUGACUUGUGGUUGCCAAGAGGGUGGAGGGAGGCAAUGGGAUGGACUGGGAGUUUGGGAUUAGUAGAUGUAAACUAUUACAUUUAAAACAGAUAAGCAAUGAGGCCCUACUGUAUAGCACAGGGAACUAUAUCUGGUCUCUUGGGAUAGACCAUGAUGAAAGGUCAUAUAAGAAAGGGAAGGUAUAUAUGACUGGAUCACUUUGCUAUACAUCAGAAAUUGGCAUAACAUUAUAAACCAACUAGUCUUUAACAACAACAAAAAAAUUGUUCUUGCUGUCAGCGUAAAAUUCUAUUUAGCUUUCACCCCCAAAGAAACACGAGUGUUAGGGUAUAACUCUCAACAUAUUAGGGGUUAAUCUUGGGCUUAUUGAAAUCUGUGGGAUUAAGGGGUAUUAUCCUAAUAUGUGUUGCAUUCCAGUGCCUCGGGAUCAUAAGUUUAAAGGACACAGAAAUUCUGGCUACAAAGGGCAUAAAUCCAAAUCAAACAGACUUAAGUAAAAUAGGAGUUACUACUUCACAAUGAGAAUGUUCACGGGGAGGUAUGACUGGGUCCAGGGGUUCCUGUAGUAUCAUCAGGAAGGUAUCUCUAUUCAACUUUUGGUCAUCCUUCCCUUUAUGUUGCAUCUUUCUCAGGUAGGCUCCCCACUGUGAAUAUACCUGCAUAGUUUGUUUCUUUCAUUUUAGCAGGUAAUUACUUUGGCUGAGCUUAAAUUGAGAUUUUGAUGUUAGGGACAGCUAUUCUAGUCUCUCUUCAGACUUUUUCUCUUUAGCUCAGUUGCUCUGAGUCUGUUCAACACAGCAUGAACCAGAGAUGAAUCAGAGAUGUAGAGAGACAGAAUUUUGGGACCCUUCUCUGGUUCUUGCCAUGCUGGGAUUCCCCCACUCCUUUCAGCAUCACAUUUCCAUGGCUUUGGUCUUCUGGCUCACUUGGCCAGAAAGCUGGAAUGUUUUCCUGCUGUCACUCCUGCCUCUGCUGAAGGAAUUGUGCAAACUGUCCUUAGGCAAAAAGACACAAAAAUGAGGAAUUUACUGUUGACAGUUCCAUAGUUCUCUCUCCUGAGUGUGUACACAAGAAUGCUUCUGGUCAUUCUUCAAAUAACAACUUUGGGAGUUCCCAUCGUGGCACAGCAGAAACAAAUCCAACUAGGAACUGUGAGGUUGUGGGUUCAAUCCAUGGCCUGGGCUCAGCGGGUCAAGGAUCUGGCGUUGCCAUGAUCUGUGGAGUAGGUCACAGACAAGGCUCGGAUCUGACGUUGCUGUGGCUAUGGCAUAGGCCAGCAGCUAUAGCUCCAAUUAGACUGGGAACCUCCACAUGCUGUGGGUACUGCCCU
rnacentral:lncRNA from 1 species